rnacentral:rRNA from 1 species
UACAGAGGGUGCAAGCGUUAAUCGGAGUAACUGGGCGUAAAGGGCGCGUAGGCGGUUUAGCAAGUGAGAGGUGAAAUCCCUGGGCUUAACCUAGGAACGGCCUUUUAGACUGUUAGACUAGAGUACAGUAGAGGAUAGCGGAAUUUCCGGUGUAGCGGUGAAAUGCGUAGAGAUCGGAAGGAACACCAGUGGCGAAGGCGGCUAUCUGGACUGAGACUGACGCUGAGGCGCGAGAGCGUGGGGAGCAAACAGG